CCUACGGGUGGCAGCAGUGGGGAAUCUUGCGCAAUGGGCGAAAGCCUGACGCAGCAACGCCGCGUGGGGGAUGAAGGCUCUCGGGUUGUAAACCCCUUUCAGCAGGGACGAUUAUGACGGUACCUGCAGAAGAAGGACCGGCCAACUACGUGCCAGCAGCCGCGGUAAUACGUAGGGUCCGAGCGUUGUCCGGAUUUAUUGGGCGUAAAGAGCUCGUAGGCGGUUCCGUAAGUCGGAUGUGAAAACUCGGGGCUCAACCCCGAGACGCCAUCCGAUACUGCGGUGACUUGAGUCUGGUAGGGGAACACGGAAUUCCUGGUGUAGCGGUGAAAUGCGCAGAUAUCAGGAGGAACACCGAUGGCGAAGGCAGUGUUCUGGGCCAGUACUGACGCUGAGGAGCGAAAGCGUGGGGAGCAAACAGGAUUAGAUACCCUUGUAGU
rnacentral:rRNA from 1 species